AAACAUCAGGAUGAUACAGUGGAACUGAGCUGGGUGGUACAGGCCUGAUGGGGUAAAGGGGAUCAUAAGAAAGAACUCUGGUAAAUUCUUACCCAGAAGCGAAGAGGUCUGGCACUCCACCCCAGGGUAACAUAUAACUUGAAUUCCAUCCUACCAAGGGAAGCCCGUUUCUAAACCCCACCGAUCCUUGGGUGAGUUACCAGAGAUCAGCGGCCAUAUGCUCACUCCAUUGGGAAAACCACUCUUUUCUUCAGGACAGGUACUUGCCACUGUCAUGGAGUACCCAGACAUAUAGCGAGCAGAGUACCCAGCAUAGAUGGACUGAGUCCUGGACAGUGAGAACCAACUAGAACAAGUUGACCGUGCCAAUAUCUGCUAUCUCCUCCCGCAGUGAGGGUGUGGGUAGACAGAGGAGCAAGAUCACAGGUGCAACUGGAAGCCACUGGGGCUCAAGAUGAAAGAAAGGUGGAGAGAUUCCUACUCUGUUCAGGCCUGGAACCAUGUCCAGGCAGAGACUAAAGAAGAGCAAGGAAGCAGCCACAAGAGUCCGCAGAUAGCAGCAGUCUGGUCUGACGAAACAAUACCUUAGCCACAGUUUAAUUUUAGGUGAACCAUUAUCAUAAAAGUCAUGAAAAACCUACUUGAUAUACUGAGAUUACCUGAGUCUACAGACAAAUGUAAGAAGCCUGCCACAU